GCUCCUACCGAUUGAGUGAUCCGGUGAAUUAUUCGGAAUGACGCAGUGCUCUGCUUCUGGAUGUUGCGUUGGAAAGUUUCAUGAACCUUAUCACUUAGAGGAAGGAGAAGUCGUAACAAGGUUUCCGUAGGUGAACCUGCAGAAGGAUCAAGUUUGAACAACUUUUCGGCAGUCCGCCGCCCCGGCAACGGAGCAGCGGACUGCCGAAAAGUUGUUCAAACUUGAUCAUUUAGAGGAAGUAAAAGUCGUAACAAGGUUUCCGUAGGUGAACCUGCAGAAGGAUCA
rnacentral:misc_RNA from 1 species